UACGUAGGGGGCGAGCGUUGUCCGGAUUUAUUGGGCGUAAAGAGCUCGUAGGCGGUUGGGUAAGUCGGGUGUGAAAACUCAGGGCUCAACUCUGAGACGCCACUCGAUACUGCCCUGACUCGAGUCCGGUAGGGGAGCGUGGAAUUCCCGGUGUAGCGGUGAAAUGCGCAGAUAUCGGGAGGAACACCAGUGGCGAAGGCGGCGCUCUGGGCCGGGAACUGACGCUGAGGAGCGAAAGCGUGGGUAGCAAACAGGA
rnacentral:rRNA from 1 species